UACGAACGCUGGCGGCGCGCUUAACACAUGCAAGUCGAGCGAUGAAAUCUUGACAGAACCCUUCGGGGCGAAGAUAAGAUGGAUUAGCGGCGGACGGGUGAGUAACACGUGAGUAACCUGCCUUAGACAUUGGGAUAGCCUCGGGAAACCGGGAUUAAUACCAAAUGAAAUCACAUAUGCACAUGCAUAAAUGAUCAAAGCUCCGGCGGUCUAAGAUGGACUCGCGUCCCAUUAGCUAGUUGGUGAGGUAACGGCCCACCAAGGCGACGAUGGGUAGCCGGCCUGAGAGGGUGAACGGCCACAUUGGAACUGAGAAACGGUCCAA
rnacentral:rRNA from 1 species